rnacentral:rRNA from 1 species
AGNGUGACANUAUAGAAAACUCCAAGNUANNGCAUCCCAACGCGUUGGGAGCUCCUCCCCAUAUGGGUCCGACCCGGCAGGCGGCCGCGAAUUCCACUAGUGAUUGAAUAUAUACGAUUGCAUUGCAUAUACUAACGGAAGCGAUCAUACCAGCACUAAUGCACCGGAUCCCAUCAGAACUCCGCAGUUAAGCGUGCUUGGGCGAGAGUAGUACUAGGAUGGGUGACCUCCCGGGAAGUCCUCGUGUUGCAUCCCUCUUUUAUG